rnacentral:rRNA from 1 species
UCAGGUGGGGGAUAACCCCGGGAAACUGGGGAUAAUACCCCAUAGACCAGGGACGCUGGAAUGCCCCCUGGUCGAAAGGUCCGCCGCCUGAGGAUGGGUCUGCGGCCGAUUAGGUUGUUGUUGGGGUAACGGCCCAACAAGCCUUUGAUCGGUACGGGUUGUGAGAGCAAGAGCCCGGAGAUGGAUUCUGAGACACAAAUCCAGGCCCUACGGGGCGCAGCAGGCGCGAAAACUUUACAAUGCGAGAAAUCGUGAUAAGGGAACCCCGAGUGCCCGUAAAUUCGGGCUGUCCAUCAGCGUAAAAAACUGGUGAAGAAAGGGCCGGGCAAGACCGGUGCCAGCCGCCGCGGUAAUACCGGCGGCUCGAGUGGUGGCCACUAUUACUGGGCUUAAAGCGUCCGUAGCUGGAUUGUUAAGUCUCUUGGGAAAUCCGCCGGCUUAACCGGCGGGCGUUCAGGAGAAACUGGCAAUCUAGGGACCGGGAGAGGUGAGAGGUACUCCAGGGGUAGGAGUGAAAUCCUGUAAUCCUUGGGGGACCACCUGUGGCGAAGGCGUCUCACUAGAACGGCUCCGACAGUGAGGGACGAAAGCUGGGGGAGC